GCAUCGGUGGUUCAGUGGUAAAAUGCUCGCCUGCCACGCGGGUGGCCCGGGUUCGAUUCCCGGGCGACGCA
rnacentral:tRNA from 1 species